CCUACGGGUGGCUGCAGUGGGGAAUAUUGGACAAUGGGGGCAACCCUGAUCCAGCCAUGCCGCGUGUGUGAAGAAGGCCCUCGGGUUGUAAAGCACUUUCAGUGAGGAAGAACGCCUGGUGGUUAAUACCCAUCAGGAAAGACAUCACUCACAGAAGAAGCACCGGCUAACUCCGUGCCAGCAGCCGCGGUAAUACGGAGGGUGCGAGCGUUAAUCGGAAUUACUGGGCGUAAAGCGCGCGUAGGUGGCUUGAUAAGCCGGUUGUGAAAGCCCCGGGCUCAACCUGGGAACGGCAUCCGGAACUGUCAAGCUAGAGUGCAGGAGAGGAAGGUAGCAUUCCCGGUGUAGCGGUGAAAUGCGUAGAGAUCGGGAGGAAUACCAGUGGCGAAGGCGGCCUUCUGGACUGACACUGACACUGAGGUGCGAAAGCGUGGGUAGCAAACAGGAUUAGAUACCCUUGUAGUC
rnacentral:rRNA from 1 species